rnacentral:lncRNA from 1 species
GUGAAUGUUAAAAAUUACGGUGCUGGUUGAGUAGGCCGAGUAGAAUUUGUGUUAGGGCACAUCCCAUGGAGAUCUUUUUUACUGCUUAAUUUUUUGGAGUUACCUCAGUAACUUAACAGGCAGGAAUAUGGUUUUAAUGGAAAGGAAACCAUUUGCCUUUAACAGCAUUAGUCCCGCUAAGAGAAAGUUUUUGCUUGUCUAGUUUAUUACAGGUCUUUGACUUUGUCAGUAUAUGGCAAAUUUAGUAUAAAAGAUGAUUAAUUAUCAAGGCUGAUGAAAUAUAGGCAGCUGAAAAGAAAAUUCUUAGCAAUUCAUACCUUAGAAGGAACCCUGAAGGACAGGACGCCAUAGAAAUCCUGUUUUUUUAAAAAAGUAAUUUCAAGUAAGUUUGCAAAUGCAAUGCUAGUAAAAAGUAUAUAGAGGUAUGUCUUUCACACUAUCUUGUUACUAUUAGAAUUUUUGUAGCCAUGUGCAGAGGAGAGAAAAGGUGUUGGAUUUUCUGCAGUUCUGAUUCAGUUCUAAGAAUUUGGUGUGAAAAGAAUGUUUGCAAAGGAGCAGGCACAAAGGUGAGAACAGGAAUACGAAACACAACAUCUGUAAAUGACUAAAUUCAGAGGGAAUUUAGUGGGGCAUAUCUCUUAAAUGGUUUUGAAUAAUUUGGUGUUUUAACCAAUGACUUAAUUUAACUUAGUGGGUAUACUGUUCCCAGUCCCAUUACUGAUUUUUAUUCCUCUGUGAUAACAUACACCCAAAUAAAGACUGCUAUGUAUUUGACUUUAAAACUAUAAAGAUGUAAAAAAGGUUCACUAAGCCAAACACCUUAGAAAAUAGCCUCAGCUAUUUGCUAUGUUUAUAUUAUA